rnacentral:lncRNA from 1 species
CUUCUAAAUUAAUGAGGAAACUUUUCGUAAUUGUGCAUAGGCUGUGGUCAAUUUUGUCCUAAAUUAGCAAGGAACAUGCUAUAAUUGGCCCUAAAUUAUAAUGUACUGUAUUUGUCAUGCUACAAUAUACUCAUAUCUUGUCAAGCUAGUUUUUCCUAUUGUAUUACGGUCAUAUCUCGUCGCCAACUUAAAGACAAAUUACACACACACACACACACAUACACACACACACACACACACACACACAGAGCUUUACACAUGGUACCACACUUUAUCUUUUACUGGCCUAAGAUUCCUUUGAUCACAUUUAUCAGGUGUGAUUUGAAAAAUGGGUGGAACUGUUUUAUGAGUGUCUAAUAAAAAUGAGAAAAUUAAUAGACAUUUUUCCUUUAUGUCAGCUCAACAUGCAGAAGCAAGUCGCCUUUUUUCCUGGGAAACUUCAGGUCGUGUUCCUCAAGGGGCCUCUUGGGUUUCUCCUCCAGGAGCCAUCUGAUGAAGCCAAACAGGUGAGUUCCACUCCUCAGGACAAGUCUGGGGCCAUGAGGGAGGACCUCGUACGGCAGAACGCUUUGGCCGUCAUCCGACAAAGAGGGGGGGGGGGGUCCCUCAGAUAAGAUGGAGGUGGUGGGAGACUAUGUCCUGCAGUUUGGUAAAUAUAAAGGGAAGUCAUUCUGAUGGCUUUUGCAGAAUGACGUAGGAUACACCGUGUAUCUUAUCAAGAACGUGCAGAACGAGGAGGCAGCAGGUCUCUGUAUGGCUCACAGCCACAGUAAGGACAGCCUCCAGUCAUUUGUGAGUUAUGCCCUCAGUUUCCAAUAAAUCCAGGCUCUUCUCACUUAUAACGGCGGAAGAGGGGAUGGAGUGACUGCCUCGUCUGAAGACGACCAGCUGGUUGGAUUUGGUGCCCGAGCCAAGAGCAGGUGGAAGGAGAUCUGGGACAGCAGAGGUGAUGGCUAUGCCCAUUUUGUCACAGGCAGGCGCUGCGUUCCAGGUACACGAAUGUUCAGGUUGCAGCAGAACCUGCUGAAGAGGCAGCAGCCCACCACAUCUUCCACACCUGCUGAGCAUCCCAUGAAGGCCCCAGCUGAGCCCCUGGCCAUGGAGGAGGACGUGGAGAUGGAAAGGGAGAUGCUGAGCAUCCAUAACGCUGAUCUGCAAGUCCAGAGCUAUGCUAUGCCAGUAGCAGCAGCCGCCCUGCCCACGCCUCUGACGCAGGACUCCAUUGAAAAAAUUGUGCAGGGUAUUCUAGAGAUGCAGCAGCAGCAGCAGACAAAACUUCCCCACAAGCUCCAGCUCUUUUCCCGCCAGAGAGGUGACGUUCCAUGUUCCAAAAGCCAAUUUCCAUAACCGAGGAUCGGACCGCCAAGGCCCCCACCUUGGUCCGCCGCGCAAUCCACACUGCACCGGACCCUUCAUGCUCCUCCUGCGGGUGGUGGGUCCACUGGAGACGGGAGUAUCCACAUAGCUGGUUCGGGCUCGGCCCGACCCGGCCUCAUGGACGUAGGCCCGGCCACCAAGCGCUCGCCAUCGAGCCCCGGCCCCAGGCCUGGCUCCAGGGUGGGGCCCCGGUAAACCUCCGGGCCGGGUACGCAGCUUCCCUUUUAGAUGUUCCAUGAUGGGUCUUCUGAACCACCGCAGCAUGAUGCUGAAAAGUUAAUUCAUGCUUUUGUUACUUCCAGGCUGGACUAUUGUAAUUCUUUAUUAUCAGGGUGUCCAAACAACUCUUUAGGAAGCCUCCAGUUGAUCCAAAAUGCUGCAGCCAGAGUUCUGACAGGUAUUGACAAAAGAGAUCACAUCUCCUGUAAUGGCGUCGCUUCAUUGGCUGCCUGUUAAAUUUAGAAUAAUUUUUAAAACCCUUCUUUUGACCUAAAGGGUCCUCAGAGGCCUAGCUCCAUCCUACCUGGAGGAGCUAGUGAUACCUUACCAGCCCAAUAGACCGCUCCGCUCUCAGAAUGCUGGUCUACUUGUGGUUCCCAGAGUUUCCAGGAGUAGAAUGGGGGGCCGAGCAUUUAGCUACCAGGCCCCCCUGCUUUGGAACCAGCUCCCUGUCCAGGUACAGGAGGCUGACUCCAUCGCUACUUUUAAGAUCAGACUUAAAACCUACCUCUUUGAAAAAGCUUAUUGUUACUAAUUCUGUAGUUCCAGUUACUAUCAUAGACAGACAAAUUAUCAUACUUAGGGGGUCGUCUAAUCGUUAGGUCACAUCUUAGCUAUGCUGCUAUAGGCCAAGGCUGCCGGGGUCCAGAAACAUGAUCACCUGACAGGCCUCUGUCACCCCACUGGGUCAUGGUUUCCUCUCCUCUCCUCUCCUCUCCUCUCCUCUCCUCUCCUCUCCUCUCCUCUCCUCUCCUCUCCUCUCCUCUCCUCUCCUCUCCUCCCCUUCUCCUCUCUCUCUACCCAGCUCCCCCAUCAGCAGGAGGGUCCCCCUACAUGAGCCUGGUCCUGCUCAAGGUUUCUUCCUGUUAAAGGGAAGAAACCUUCCUUGCCACUGUUGCUUGUCUGGGGUCAGGCCCUGGGAUUCUGGAAAGCGCCUUGAAACAAUUUUGAUUGUAUAAAGAUUGAUUUGAUUUGAUUCUUUGUCUGACCCUUCACCUUGGACCAAUCUGCCUUGGGAGACCCUACCAGGGGCAAACUGCCCCGGAAAGCAGAGCUCCCAGGCUCAUUAGGGUACGCAAACUCCUCCACCACGAUAAGGUGAUGGUUCACGGAGGAGUAUAGAGGGUUCUCAUAUGAUCAAAUUCAAUAAAACAUAAGAAUAAGAUAAAAGCAAUUUGCAUUGGCCGGGAAUCGAACCCGGGCCUCCCGCGUGGCAGGCGAGAAUAGGUGUAACGGAGAACCAGCCAAUCAGAUCGAAGCUGCCCGAAGACCUCAGAGGGAGAGUUAGAAUCCAGCUUUGGGCAUAAUCACGUCGAAGAUAUGUGUUUGAAAAAUUCACGUUAAUAAAAAUGUUUAAAGAGCAUCGCAGUUUCUGGGUUUCUGUGAGUUUAAUGAGCCACAAAUGCUUG